rnacentral:rRNA from 1 species
GAUGAACGCUGGCGGCGUGCCUAAUACAUGCAAGUCGAGCGAACAGACGAGGAGCUUGCUCCUCUGACGUUAGCGGCGGACGGGUGAGUAACACGUGGAUAACCUACCUAUAAGACUGGGAUAACUUCGGGAAACCGGAGCUAAUACCGGAUAAUAUAUUGAACCGCAUGGUUCAAUAGUGAAAGACGGUUUUGCUGUCACUUAUAGAUGGAUCCGCGCCGCAUUAGCUAGUUGGUAAGGUAACGGCUUACCAAGGCAACGAUGCGUAGCCGACCUGAGAGGGUGAUCGGCCACACUGGAACUGAGCCACGGUCCAGACUCCUACGGGAGGCAGCAGUAGGGAAUCUUCCGCAAUGGGCGAAAGCCUGACGGAGCAACGCCGCGUGAGUGAUGAAGGUCUUCGGAUCGUAAAACUCUGUUAUUAGGGAAGUACAAAUGUGUAAGUAACUAUGCACGUCUUGACGGUACCUAAUCAGAAAGCCACGGCUAACUACGUG